GCCCCGGAGGAAAACUCCGUGUUGCCUAGACCACGGCCUUGCCCAACACAAGUUAUAAAUUCGGGCACCGCCGGGAAUCGAACCCGAGACCCCAGGAUUACAAGGCCAGCGUUCUAACCGGUAGACCACCGUGAGAUGCUACCUCUUUCAGAUCCAUGUAGUCUGGUAGAAGUUUAUCAACAUUUUGGAUGUCCUUCCUGCCUCCAUUCCUCAUGAUGACAACAUGGUGCUACAACUCGGAAGACAAGCACCUUUGUCCAUCACAAACUCUGAGCUGUCACUGCUCAAUGGUUCAGUAAUUGACUUAACAAAUUCAAGACAGCAAUAAACAAACUAUAGAAUGAA